rnacentral:rRNA from 1 species
UAGGGAAUCUUCCGCAAUGGACGAAAUCUGACGGAGCAACGCCGCGUGAACGAAGAAGGCCUUCGGGUCGUAAAGUUCUGUUGUUAGGGAAGAACAAGUACCAGAGUAACUGCUGGUACCUUGACGGUACCUAACCAGAAAGCCACGGCUAACUACGUG